AACGCGAAGAACCUUACCCGGCCUUCCCAUGUCCGGAAUCCUGCAGAGAUGAGGGAGUGCUUUCGGGAAUCGGAACACAGGUGCUGCAUGGCUGUCGUCAGCUCGUGUCGUGAGAUGUUGGGUUAAGUCCCGCAACGAGCGCAACCCUUGUCCUUUGUUGCCAUCAUUUAAUGGUGGGAACUUUAAGGAGACUGCCGGUGACAAACCGGGAGGAAGUGGGGAUGACGUCAAGUUAUCAUGGCCCUUACGGCCAGGGGUACCCACGUUCUACAAUGGUAGGGACAGAGGGCAGCAAAACCGGGAGGGGGAGCCAAUCCCAGAAAACCUGUCCCAGUUCGGAUUGGCGUUUGCCAAUUGGCUUCAUGGAGUUUGGAAUCGCUAGUAUCGCAGAUCAGCAUGCGCG
rnacentral:rRNA from 1 species